CGGGUGAGUAACACGUGAGCAACCUGCCUAUGACAGUGGGAUAGCCUCGGGAAACCGGGAUUAAUACCGCAUAAAAUCGUAGAAACACAUGUUUUAACGGUCAAAGAUUUAUCGGUCAUAGAUGGGCUCGCGUCUGAUUAGCUAGUUGGUGAGAUAACAGCCCACCAAGGCGACGAUCAGUAGCCGGUCUGAGAGGAUGAACGGCCACAUUGGAACUGAGACACGGUCCAA
rnacentral:rRNA from 1 species